ACGGGAGACACACGGCGGGUGCUAACGUCCGUCGUGAAGAGGGAAACAACCCAGACCGCCAGCUAAGGUCCCAAAGUCAUGGUUAAGUGGGAAACGAUGUGGGAAGGCCCAGACAGCCAGGAUGUUGGCUUAGAAGCAGCCAUCAUUUAAAGAAAGCGUAAUAGCUCACUGGUCGAGUCGGCCUGCGCGGAAGAUGUAACGGGGCUAAACCAUGCACCGAAGCUGCGGCAGCGACGCUUAUGCGUUGUUGGGUAGGGGAGCGUUCUGUAAGCCUGCGAAGGUGUGCUGUGAGGCAUGCUGGAGGUAUCAGAAGUGCGAAUGCUGACAUAAGUAACGAUAAAGCGGGUGAAAAGCCCGCUCGCCGGAAGACCAAGGGUUCCUGUCCAACGUUAAUCGGGGCAGGGUGAGUCGACCCCUAAGGCGAGGCCGAAAGGCGUAGUCGAUGGGAAACAGGUUAAUAUUCCUGUACUUGGUGUUACUGCGAAGGGGGGACGGAGAAGGCUAUGUUGGCCGGG
rnacentral:rRNA from 1 species